AUAAAGAUUGGGUAUGGACAUGAUCACGAAGGUGAUUUUCCCAGAGUGAGGCUUAUCCAUUGCACUCCAGAUGUGCUGACCCCUGCGAUUUCCCCAAAUGCAGGAAAUUUGACUCCAUAAUUUGUGGUAGUGGGGAACUAUGUUUAUGCUCUCCCCUG